rnacentral:rRNA from 1 species
GAUGAACGCUAGCUACAGGCUUAACACAUGCAAGUCGAGGGGAAACGACAUCGAAAGCUUGCUUUUGAUGGGCGUCGACCGGCGCACGGGUGAGUAACGCGUAUCCAACCUGCCCAUCACUUGGGAAUAACCUUGCGAAAGUAAGACUAAUACCCAAUGAUAUCCCACGAAGGCAUCGGAAUGGGAUCAAAGAUUUAUCGGUGAUGGAUGGGGAUGCGUCUGAUUAGCUUGUUGGCGGGGUAACGGCCCACCAAGGCAACGAUCAGUAGGGGUUCUGAGAGGAAGGUCCCCCACAUUGGAACUGAGACACGGUCCAAACGCCUACGGGAGGCAGCAGUGAGGAAUAUUGGUCAAUGGGGGAGAGCCUGGACCAGCCAAGUAGCGUGAAGGAAGCCGGCCCUAUGGGUUGUAAACUGCUUUUAUAAGGGAAUAAAGUGGGUCACGUGUGACUUUUUGCAUGUACCUUAUGAAUAAGGACCGGCUAAUUCCGUG